rnacentral:lncRNA from 1 species
UCACCUUUUCCAAAAGAGAUACUUUUUUGGGUUUCUCCUCUUCAACUGCUGGUUUCUCUUCAAAUGCUAGUUCAUUUUGUUCCUGUGUUGGUUCUUCAGGUGUUUCUUCAGUUAUUGGGUUUUCAGGUUUCUCUUCAAAUGCUUGUUCAUUUGGUGUUUCUUCCUGUGUUGGUUCUUCAGGUGCUUCUUCAGUUACUGGUUUUUCAGGUUUAUCUUCAACUGCUGGUUCUUCUAGUGUCUCCUCAAUCGAUGGUUCUUCAAGUUCCUCUCUUGCUACUGGUUUUUCAGAUUUCUCUUCAACUGCUGGUUGUUCAGGUUUUUUCAUAACCACUGACUCUUCAGAUCUCUCUUCAAUUGCUGGUUCUUCAGUUUUUUCCUCAACUGAUUCAUAAUCGGCAAUAGCAUUGUUGGUAAUGCAUUGAAUUGCAUUGUCUGUCUUGUUCUUUGACUUUUCAAUUGGUGAAUUCUGCAAAAAUAAAUAAAUUGAAGUUUCAUUUAGUCUUUCAAUGGAUAAAACAGAUGUAAAUUCGUUACGCAUAUAAAGCUAAUAUGAUGGAUAAACUUUGUGAAAGUGUUUAAUCCUCACAUUCUCCUGAAGAGCUUCCGUUUCAGGUUUCUCCUCUUCAAUUGCUUUCUUUUCAGCUUUCUCUUCAACAUCUAGUUCUUCAAGUGUCUCUUCAACGGUUGGUUCUCUAGGUUUCUCUUCAAGGGCUAGCUCUUCAGGCAUUUCCUCCUCUGCUAGUUCUUCAGGUGUUUCUUUAGCUGUUGGUUCUUCAGGUUUCUCUCCAGCCUCUGGUUUUCGAGUUUUCUCCUCAAAUGAUUCUUCAGAUUUUUCCUCAACCUUUGGUUCUUCACGUUUCUCCCUAACCAUUGGUAAAUCAGGUUUCUCUAGUUUUUCAGGUUUUUCUUCAACUGCUGGUUCCUCAAAUUCUGCAAAGUUAGCAGCAUCAUUGUUGGUAUUGCAUGGAAGUUCAUUCUCACUUUUGUCGUUUGAGUCUACAACUUGUAUUUUCU